CAAUAAACAAUAUUAAUACAAAAAAAUACUCUCAGCUACUUCAUCUUCUUCCUUGUGAUUCCUCCAUUAAUCCAUACAGUUGCAGGUUGAGAUAGGGUAUUGGAUUCUGGCUCCUAUCAAGGACGAGUGCGAUGACUAUCGGCCAUUACAGCUUUGCAGGUACGAUUUCUCCUUUUUCCUCUGCAUUUUAAUGUUCCCUCCUCGCAAUCCAUCGAAUCCUUUUCUUCCAAUUUUGUUCCACUCGUUCAAUUUUUCAAUGGUUUCUUUCUAGGGCGAUUUUUUUAUAUAUUUUCUUUAUUUGGUCUGAGUCUCGGUCUCACCGUCUCAAAUCCUCACCUGUAUUCGUACGACGAGACGCAGUGUUCAUGGGGAGACCUCGUCGCACGCGGCCAGCGAGGAUUUCUAUGGUUUGAUUUCUACAACUCGAAUUAUUUUCCGUGAUUGACUUUUAGGGUUUGUGAAAAUUGGGUUUCCGCAAUUUUGAUUGUUCUAAAACUGGAUUUGUCAAUUUGAAUAACUUGAAUUUCUGAGCAUGCAUGUCAUUGAUGUCAAUUAAUCUUGUCGGCGGAGGAAAGAAGCAACCUUAUAUGUAUGAACCUCUCUGUGAAAUGUCUCUAUGAAAGGAGGGAACACCCCUUGCUUCGAAGUUGAUCUAUUUCCCGAAGCGUACCGAAAAUUAGAAUCCCAAAUUCGGGAAUACCAAAAUUUCGGUUCGAUUUCAGUUUUUGAAAUCCCGUCUCGAAAGGGAUCGGUUCGGGAUCCCAACCUGAACCACCCUCACUACCACCAUAGCCAAUGCCACCCCUAUAAUUAGCAGCCCCGCCAGAAUCAUCCAUCAUCCAUAUUUCGAAUGAUUACUCGGGACAAUGAGCGAUACCACCAUAGCCAUAUAGGCCAAUGGAUUUUUUCCACAUUGUAAGACACAUGUCAAGGUAAUCUUUGUAGGUGAUCUCAUGUGGUAUAAAUACAUCACGACUCAUGUCAAACGAAAUGAUUGCUAACCUAAUCUUUCCUUCAUCAUCAUAACGAGUGUUAUCGCAAGAUAUGAACUCCUUUUGUUGCUCGCUUCCUAACCAAAGAAAGUGGUAUCUGUUUCUAAAGAAUAGGUCUUGAUCUCUCUCCAACAAUCUGUUUCCAAGGUGUACACUUGUACUCAGAGAGGAUUAACAAUCAGAUGUUCUUUCUCGCCGUACAAUUUGAACCAGAAAAUGCAAUGCUAACAACUUUGUAACAUUUAGAUAAGGGAUCAUAGACAAAUCCUAGAGGAAUUAUGAGCCGCCCUGUUGCUGGAAGGUAGGGAGCUUCCACCGUGAGGGAUCCAAAUGGUGGGCUAGGCCAAUUAUUCUGAAGGAGUGGGGGAAGAAGCCUGAACUCCUGAAUUGCCGGACUCCACAAAAACACCAUAGUAGAAUUAGAUAGGUCUAGACAAAUGAUCCCAUUGACCUAUAAUACCAAUUGAUUCGUCCCCGACCUCUAGAUUCAUAGAAAGAGGAACAUGGAUGUCCUCACCUUCAGAAAUAAAGCUAUAAGUCACCAUAGUUGGUGUUGUCUGAGUCUCCAACAACAUCAUUAUUGUUGUCAAAAUUUAGCAUUGAGAAUAUGGAUUGAAUUUCAUUACCAUUACCCUUGGCCUUGGGGUCCUCCGACUCCUUAGUAGGGACUAGCAUUUGCUUCAAAAGGGCACGAGUGAAUUGAUUGAUUUGCAAGGAAUAGGAAUUAGAGAGGUGCUUGUCAACGAAGCUGGGGUCAUUGAUGAAAGCAUACCACCAUUUAGUGACACACUUGAAUUGCAUCAGAGAUUUCAGGAGUAGGGUUGAAAGAAUUUUCACCAACAAAUCUUGUCCAAUUUUUCUUUUGCAAGACUUGUUUGUCAUGAUUUGUGCAAUGUCAAGUGUCAUGUUUCUCACUUAACAUGCUCCAAGCAAUAUUAUUUUAGUGCUGACAAAGAGGGCUCAGCCCAACCGUCUUAUACUUUGCUCAAUCCCAUAUGAUUAAACCACUUGCAUUUGCAGAUGAGAUAAUGCAGCUUUCAGUAAAACGUUGAGUCUGGUAAAAGUUUCAGGCUGUCAUGCUCAGAGGUUUUAUAAUUGAAAGCAACAUUGCCAACAAAAUCUGAUAAAAAGUUAAAAUCACUUAACGUUCUAAAAAUAUGCAUUAUCACAUUUAAGCAUUGGAUUAAAGUAACAAAUCCCUGACUUCAAUUCAGAGUACAUUCACUAAAUAUUAACAUACAAAUUGAAGUUCACAAUCUACAGGAAGAACUCAUCUAAUCCAUAUGCAAGGGAGAACAGGUUGGGGGGCAGCCAAAAACAUAAAAGCACCCGAAAAGACAUGGGAUUGAACAAAGAAAAAAACAAGAUCAUGCACAUACCCUAUCCCCAACUUACCAACUAACAAACCGAAUUAGACAAAGAAAAUGACAAGAUCAUACACAUACCUACACCUAACUUACAAACCAUUUAACCACCUUAUCCUUGUCUUUAAAAAAACACCUUCUUCUGAAUCUCUAUGAUAACCAAGACAAACAAAAUGCAUUGCUUCUUUAAGGUUUUUUUUGUUUAACAAUAUAGUUGUUCUUAAUGAAGCAACAACUCCUCAUGAAUUUUUUCCGUAUGUACAACAAUCGUCGUUUGUAUUCUGCAAAUUUAAAUUCAAUCUGGAUGUGGAAACCAAUUUGAACGUGCAACUUUCAUCACGUAUGGUUUUUGACCGAGUAGCGAACCCUUUUGCAACGCUCUUGUGCUCUCGCGUAGCUUUCAACCCUUAUGAGGUACAUAAUAACAAAAAAAUAAAAGUUAAAAUUAAAAAUUAAGUUUUGUCUCUUCUUCCUUCACCCUCGCUCUUUUUAUCUUGCUCCUUUUAGUUCCAUAUACAGUGAGUGCUUCUUUCAUCUUCCAUGAUUCCAUUUGGGCCCCACUUUUCUUUCCCAAUCACCGAAUCCCUGUUUCUCUACAACACCAACGACAAACAUGUGUAGGUAUACAGUUGGAUGAAAUCUCUUGGGUGAGUCCUCCCUUGGCAUUUCUUUCUUCACAUAUAUACUUAUAUCUUUGUUUGUCUUUUCUUUUUGUUCUUUUAUUGUACCUUUUUCUUUUUUCCUGCAACUUUCUAAUGUGAUUUCUCGUCUUAGUUCACUCAAAAUCAUGAGAUGUAAACAAACUUGUCAAUAUAUUGGUCAAACCCGAAUACAAGUAGCACGAAUAUGUUUUUUUGUCAAACAAAAUAUAAUAAGCCUGGAUUAUGCUCCGAGGACACAUUUUCCCCAACACAGUACUUUGAAUAUGCUCAUAGCUUAUGGUCUGGUUAUGAUGUAGAUAUAUUUUUUUUCGAGCCAUGGUUCUACCAGGCUCCCGAUAUCAGUUUAGCCAAUUUGAACAAGCCAUUCGUAGAUCAAUAACUUGAAAGACACCUACUCUAUAUUGCCGAAUGGACAACCACCAUUUAUUUCUACAGGAAGUUAUUAUUUGACCACUAUGCAACUGAUUACUAUCCAUUUGGCAACGCAGAGUUGGUGUUUGUCCAUUUAUUGAUUUGCUAAUGACUUGUUCAAGUUAGCUAAAGUGAUAUUAGAAGCCUGGCACCGUAUAUCUGCAUUAUAGUCAAACCAUAAGCUAUGUGCAUGUUGAGAAUAGUGUGUGUGAGAAAAUAUGUCAUCGGAACAUAAUGCGUGCUUGUUAUAUCCUACUUGCUAGAAAUACAUAUAUGUGCUCCUCACAUUCAGGUUUGGCCAAAAUAUUGACAAAUUUCUUUCAGUUCAUUAUUUUGACUCAUCUGAAACGAUAAAUCACAUUAAAAUGUUGCUGAAAAAAAAAGAACAAUAAAAUGACAAAAGACAAACAAGACUAAAAUCAUAUAUAUGUAUAUAUAUAUGUAUAUAUGUAUGUAUGUAUGUAUGUAUGUAUAUAGAUGUGUGUGUGGAGAGAAAUGCCAAGAAGGACUUGCCCCAAAGCGGUUUUAUCCAAACUCUGUACCUACGAGUGAUGAGAGAAAGAAAAGUGUAGCCCAAAUACAUGGUAGAGAAACAAACACUCACUAUAUACGAAACUACAAAAUAGCAAGGGGAGGGAAGAAUAGAUAAAAUUUAAUUUUUAAUUUCAACUUUUGUUUUAUGUUACCUAUAAGGCUAUAAGUGCUGAAAACUAGGCUAGUGCAUAUUAGCGUUGCGAAGGGGUUGGUUGUGUUACUCGGCCAAAGACCAUGUGUGGUGGAAGUAGCAGCCUCAAAUUGGUGUCCGCAAACUCAAGAUUGAAUGUGCAAAAUACAAAUGGUGAUUGUUGUACGUAUUGAAAGAUUUCAUACGGCAUUGGAAAAGCGUGAUGAAGCAAGGCAUUUUGUUUGUCCGAGGAAAUUGGUUAUCAGAGAGAUUCAGAAUAAGUUGUUUUUGUUUUGAGACAAGUAAGAUGCUUAAAUACUGAGCUUUUUAGGUUUAUUGGUAUGUAAGCCGGGUGUGGGUAUGUGCAUGCUAUUUUCAUUUUCUUUGUUUAAUUUGGUUGGUUGAUUUGUAACUUUGGUUGCUAUUUUCAUAUUUUUGGUUGGUUUCAUUUCCUGUAUUUUUGUUUGUUCAAUUCUAUGUUUUUUUGGGGCACUGUUCCGUUAUUGACCGAACUCCUACCUAUUCUCCCUUGCAUAUAAAAAUAUGGAUUAGGUGAGUUCUUUCUGCAAAUUGUCAACUCCAAUUGUAUGUAAAUAUUCCGUGACCACUCUGGAAUUUGUAUGUAAUUUGGGGUAGGUAUGUCCAACUUCUCCCUAAACCCUCCCUAUUCUUGGCCACAUACUUCCCAGCCCAGUUCCAUCUUUGCCCUUCUUCGCCACAUCUUUCAAAUAAUCCUCUGCCACAUACUUCUCAAUUAUCGUCCCCAAAUAUGUCUGCCAGAAGUGUCGCAACUCUCUGGGGCUUUGAAUUGAAGUUUCAAAUGGGUGAGAUUGCAAAAUGUUUUUCCUUGAGGGGAAAAUUUAUAGUUGAAAUGGGUUGGGUUUUGAUUUAGUUAAGCCAAAGUGUUGUUCUCUUGAACUUUUAAAGUUUUGAUUGUGGCUCGAAAACCUUAAUUAUGCUGUUAUAGGCUUUAAGUUUUGCCAUGAAGUGCUAAUUUGUUGAGCAAAUAGUUUGAGUUAGAAAUGGGACUUGUUCCUGUGAAGAGCUAAGUUGACUAAUCGAUCCAAAUAAGCGUAUCAUUUGACUAGAAUCACAUUGCGUGUACUAAAUAUACGAUUUCUUGAGUUGGCUAUUGUUUGUCGACAUUGUUACUUGUUAGUGUUUUUAGGAUUGAUUUACUGUAAUUCUAGUUGGUUUCAAUUUCUAGAAAUCACAGAGAAUGUGAUGAGCUCGUUUCAGAGAGCAGAGAUGAAGAAGGAAGAAGCAAAGUGUGAAACUUCAAGGAGAAAUCUGUGCUGGAUUCUCUUCGAUUCGGUUAUGCUAAACAUACUGGAAGUGUGAGCAAAAAUAGCUGUUGCUAGCUCACACCUCAACUAGUAGGUCAUGGUUAAUGGUUUCUUGAUGGCCCGGUGCAAUAAUGUGUGCGAGACAUGGUUUAUUCGGUUUGUAGUGCUGAAGCAGACAAUCCAAGCCAGUCUGGAAAGGCAAUGGAUGAGUCCUUUGACAAGGAGAUUGAAGAUGUGAAUAGGGACACUAAAGCAUACGAAGCCUGUCUCAAAUGCUUGGAGGGUGAGAGAAGGAAAGUGCUUGGUGAGACUGAUUUUCUCAAUGAAAAACUAAAGGUGCAUAUUUCAAAUAUUGUCUAAUGCAAUAAUCUAUGUGUGAUCUGUCUAUGGAUAGUGAUAAAAGGGUUGUUUUAUUGCCAUUAUGCCUUCAUUCCGAGGAAUGACGCAAAUGACAACUCCAAACGUCACACCUCCGUUGCCUACCUACCAUUUAGGUAGUACUUUUAGAGAUUGUAUGACCAGUAGGAUGCAUUUGUCUGCAUUAAUACAAAAUACAUUUGAGCUCUCAUCCUGCUGUGUGUCUCGGGUUGCCGUAUUCGUGUCUCUGUCUGUGCAACAUAGAUCCUAAACUCCUAUAUUCAAGUGUUAGGUUCGUUUUCUUUGUUUUCUUGCUCAUAAAUGAACCGCUUAUCCUUAUUGAUUA